CCCACAACUCAACAAACACUCCUUCAAAAGCCCAAAAUUUUAUAUUUUUUCGGAUAAAAUAUAUCUUCGAAUCCAAAAAAUUUACUUCCAAAAUUUUAAAAUUAAUUUUUUAAAAAUAAAAUACUAUUACUGAUCUACUAUACUGUUUUUCUGAAUUAUUGAUGAAAUGGCAAAUACAAUAUAGAGUACUUUGAUUAUAGGACUAUUUCUAUAUGCUUCUAUGCACAUGGAGAAUGUUUCUUUUGAUUGACUAAUGCAUACAUGUUACAAUAUUCUAGUAAAUAUAUAUGAGUUCGGCUGUGACACUUUUAAAAGCACCAAGUACUUGAUUCUUAUAAAUUUUCUACCGUUAAAUUUAUCCUGAUUAUUUUCACUCGUUAGAUCAUACUAUUCAACCAACCACCGACUCAAUCCUAGAAGAUCGUUAUCAUCAUGACUGCAUAUUCUUUAAUGCAAUGACCGAAAAAUCUUCAAGUAUCAAUGAUUUAGAUAUUUUUUAAAAUAUAAAAGUUCAAUUCAGUAUAAAUAAUAAUUACAUGAGGAUAACAAUUAGAGAAGUAAUGUAUUUCUCAUUCUGG
rnacentral:lncRNA from 1 species